rnacentral:rRNA from 1 species
GACGAACGCUGGCGGCGUGCUUAACACAUGCAAGUCGAACGGAAAGGCCCUGCUUUUGUGGGGUGCUCGAGUGGCGAACGGGUGAGUAACACGUGAGUAACCUGCCCUUGACUUUGGGAUAACUUCAGGAAACUGGGGCUAAUACCGGAUAGGAGCUCCUGCUGCAUGGUGGGGGUUGGAAAGUUUCGGCGGUUGGGGCUGGACUCGCGGCUUAUCAGCUUGUUGGUGGGGUAGUGGCUUACCAAGGCUUUGACGGGUAACCGGCCUGAGAGGGUGACCGGCCACAUUGGGACUGAGAUACGGCCCAGACUCCUACGGGGGGCAGCAGUGGGGAAUAGUGCACGAUGGGCGGAAGCCUGAUGCAGCACCGCCGCGUGCGGGAUGACGGCCUUCGGGUUGUAAACCGCUUUCGCCUGUAACGAAGCGUGGGUGACGGUAAUGGGUAAAGAAGCGCCGGCUAACUACGUG